UAAGAAGCUCUUUCAAAUUUGUCAUACACAAGUUAUAAAUGAUGGCAUCUCACAAGAUUGUAAUGCAAUUUAUAAUAUGGAAGUUGGUUUUGUGAAAAAAAAAAAAAUUUCAUGAAUGGACAUAAAACUCCAAUUUUGAAGUUUGUUGGCUGUUUGAUGGAGUAUGUCUGAGCAAUGUUAUAAAGUAUGUCUGAGCAAUGUUAUAAGGCCUUUUGCCAAUCUAUAAUGCAUGCUUCUUUUUUCUUUGGGCAAAUCCAUUUUGAAGCAUAAGCUAAUGCACACAAUGAAAGAAUUUCAAUAUAUCAUUUUCUUUAACAACUAUGUGCUACAAUUUUGUUGAAGGCCAUAAUAUUCCCGCAGCUUCUAGUGUGAUCUUUAGCUAAUUAUUUUUUGCAAAUAAUAAUUUUGAUGUAUUAUAAGAUUGAGCUUGGUUAG
rnacentral:misc_RNA from 1 species